rnacentral:rRNA from 1 species
UCCGUAGGUGGCGAGCGUUGUCCGGAUUUACUGGGCGUAAAGAGCGCGCAGGCGGUCGUAUAAGUCGCGUGUGAAAGCCCCCGGCUCAACUGGGGAGGGUCACGCGAUACUGUUCGACUCGAAGGCAGGAGAGGGAAGUGGAAUUCCCGGUGUAGUGGUGAAAUGCGUAGAUAUCGGGAGGAACACCAGUGGCGAAGGCGACUUCCUGGCCUGUUCUUGACGCUGAGGCGCGAAAGCUAGGGUAGCAAACGGG